rnacentral:lncRNA from 1 species
UCAACAUGUUCUUUUACACUAGUUGCCCGCCCAUCACAUUCCAAUAUUUACUAAAAUCUUAUAAUAUCGUAUGUCAUAAAUCAUAUUCCCCUUCUUUACUUCCACCUUUUUCACCAUCCACAUCUUAGAUACACUGCCCUGUCUCUACAAUUAGAUUUAGAUUUCAUAAAAAAAAAAAACAAACACACACACAUUACCAAAUCAAGAAAGGAAACUCGAACUCCAGAAUAAAUUAAGUCCCCAGUAGUCCUAUGAAUCGUUUCUUAUUGAAUUUUGCACAGAACCUCCAAACUUGACACCAAUUCUGCUGAUACCUUUACCUUAAUUGGGCAAACAUUUCUGUCAACAAAAACUUCAACUUUCCCAUAGAAGCUGACACCAAGUUCACCAAAUUCAUUCAUAUGGCUAGGAAUUUAAACUUUCUAUUACAAAAAAGGCAAAUUAAUAAUAAUAUACCCACUUAACCUAAUAUGCGCAAAACUUAAGAAAGAAACCCUACACCCAAAUACCUCAAAAGGGUUUAAACAGCACAAGAAAAUGCAUAAAUUGUGAAGCGCAUGAAUUCAUAUAAUAAUCAAAGAUUUUCAAAUAACAUAUAAAAGAGUUAUACAGAGAUUUACAACUAGAUUGAGAUCAAGUUUACAAUUUAAAGAAGAAGAAAAAAACUUGAAAUUUUAAAGAUUUUGAAGCUUACCAACAACUUUUGAUGAUCCUUCUGAUCCCAUUUCUGGCAGCAUCUAAAACAGCAAAUUAAAGGUUUUUGAGUUGAAAAACCAAAAGGGUAUUCCUAAAAAGAGUAAGAAAGAGGCAACGAGAGAGAGAGAGAGAUAGAGGNNNN